UACGUAGGGGGCAAGCGUUGUCCGGAUUUAUUGGGCGUAAAGAGCGUGUAGGCGGCCAUACAGGUCCGUUGUGAAAACUGGAGGCUUAACCUCCAGACGUCGAUGGAAACCGUAUGGCUAGAGUCCGGAAGAGGAGAGUGGAAUUCCUGGUGUAGCGGUGAAAUGCGCAGAUAUCAGGAAAAACACCCGUGGCGAAGGCGGCUCUCUGGGACGGUACUGACGCUGAGACGCGAAAGCGUGGGGAGCGAACAGG
rnacentral:rRNA from 1 species